AACGAACGCUGGCGGCAGGCUUAACACAUGCAAGUCGAGCGCCUCGCAAGGGGAGCGGCAGACGGGUGAGUAACGCGUGGGAAUCUACCCAUCCCUAGGGGAUAACACAGAGAAAUUUGUGCUAAUACCCUAUACGUCCCUCGGGAGAAAGAUUUAUCGGGGAUGGAUGAGCCCGCGUCGGAUUAGCUAGUUGGUGGGGUAAUGGCCUACCAAGGCGACGAUCCGUAGCUGGUCUGAGAGGAUGAUCAGCCACACUGGGACUGAGACACGGCCCAGACUCCUACGGGAGGCAGCAGUGGGGAAUAUUGGACAAUGGGCGAAAGCCUGAUCCAGCAAUGCCGCGUGAGUGAUGAAGGCCUUAGGGUUGUAAAGCUCUUUUACCAGGGAUGAUAAUGACAGUACCUGGAGAAUAAGCUCCGGCUAACUCCGUGCCAGCAGCCGCGGUAACAC
rnacentral:rRNA from 1 species